AUUAUUUAAAGAGCUGCGAUAAAUUAAUCGUACUAAGGUAGCAUAAUCAUUAGUUCUUUAAUUGAGGACCCGUAUGAAAGGUGGAACGUGGAACGAAUUGUCUUUAUAUAAUUGUUUUAAUUUUAUAUUUUUGUUAAAAAGCUAAAAUUAAAUUUGAAGACGAGAAGACCCUAUAGAGCUUUAUUUUUAUAGNUUUAUGUUAUANUUUAGACUUAUUGAAAUUUUGCUGGGGCGGUAGAGAGAAAUUAAAUAUCUCUCUUUUAUUUAAUUAUUAGUUAAUAUGAUUUAAUCCAAGAUGAUUGAAAUAAAUUAAGUUACCUUAGGGAUAACAGCGUAAUUUUUUCAUAGAGUUCUUAUCGAUGAAAUAGUUUGCGACCUCGAUGUUGGAUUAGGAAAUCUAGUUGGUGCAAAAGUUAAUU
rnacentral:rRNA from 1 species